rnacentral:rRNA from 1 species
AUUGAACGCUGGCGGCAUGCUUUACACAUGCAAGUCGAACGGUAACAGGCCGCAAGGUGCUGACGAGUGGCGAACGGGUGAGUAAUGCAUCGGAACGUGCCCAGUCGUGGGGGAUAACUACUCGAAAGAGUAGCUAAUACCGCAUACGAUCUAUGGAUGAAAGCGGGGGACCGUAAGGCAUCGCGCGAUUGGAGCGGCCGAUGUCAGAUUAGGUAGUUGGUGGGGUAAAGGCUCACCAAGCCAACGAUCUGUAGCUGGUCUGAGAGGACGACCAGCCACACUGGGACUGAGACACGGCCCAGACUCCUACGGGAGGCAGCAGUGGGGAAUUUUGGACAAAGGGCGCAAGCCUGAUCCAGCAAUGCCGCGUGCAGGAAGAAGGCCUUCGGGUUGUAAACUGCUUUUGUACGGAACGAAACGGCUCUGGUUAAUACCCGGGGCUAAUGACGGUACCGGAAGAAUAAGCACCGGCUAACUACGUG